rnacentral:rRNA from 1 species
AUACGGAGGGUGCGAGCGUUAAUCGGAAUUACUGGGCGUAAAGCGUACGUAGGCGGUUGGUUAAGUUAGAUGUGAAAGCCCCGGGCUUAACCUGGGAACUGCAUUUAAAACUGGCGAACUAGAGUUGAGUAGAGGGGAGUGGAAUUUCAGGUGUAGCGGUGAAAUGCGUAGAGAUCUGAAGGAACACCAGUGGCGAAGGCGACUCCCUGGACUUGAACUGACGCUGAGGUACGAAAGCGUGGGUAGCAAACGGAAUUAGAUACCCUAGUAGUCC